rnacentral:rRNA from 1 species
GAUGAACGCUAGCUACAGGCUUAACACAUGCAAGUCGAGGGGCAGCGCAGUGUAGCAAUACAUGGGCGGCGACCGGCGCACGGGUGCGUAACGCGUAUCCAACCUUCCCGUUACUCAGGGAUAGCCUUCCGAAAGGGAGAUUAAUACCUGAUGGUGUUGAGAUUCCGCAUGUUAUUUCAACUAAAGAUUUAUCGGUAACGGAUGGGGAUGCGUGACAUUAGGUAGAUGGCGGGGUAACGGCCCACCAUGCCUACGAUGUCUAGGGGUUCUGAGAGGAAGGUCCCCCACACUGGAACUGAGACACGGUCCAGACUCCUACGGGAGGCAGCAGUGAGGAAUAUUGGUCAAUGGUCGGAAGACUGAACCAGCCAAGUAGCGUGAAGGAUGAAGGUUCUAUGGAUUGUAAACUUCUUUUAUACGGGAAUAAAACCACCUACGUGUAGGUGCUUGUAUGUACCGUAUGAAUAAGCAUCGGCUAACUCCGUGCCAGCAGCCGCCGUAAUAC